rnacentral:pre_miRNA from 1 species
UGUUCUUCAAGCACAUGUCCACUUCAUGUUCUCAAGUCUUAUCAUUGGAUUGAGCACCUUGGUCUUUCAAAUAUUCUAUUAUGAUAUGUUGAUAUAUAAUUGGUCUUUCAAGUAUUUUCUCAUUAAUAUGAAAACAUAUUAUUACAAAAUAUUUUUGCAUAUUAUUGUAGUAUACUUGAUAAAUCAAAGUGCUCACUGUAAUGAUAAAGCUUGAGAACAUGAAGUCUACUUGACUUCUACUUUG